GAGUUUGAUCGUGGCUCAGAUUGAACGCUGGCGGCAUGCCUUACACAUGCAAGUCGAACGGCAGCAUGAUCUAGCUUGCUAGAUUGAUGGCGAGUGGCGAACGGGUGAGUAAUACAUCGGAACGUGCCCUGUAGUGGGGAUAACUAGUCGAAAGAUUAGCUAAUACCGCAUACGACCUGAGGGUGAAAGUGGGGGACCGCAAGGCCUCAUGCUAUAGGAGCGGCCGAUGUCUGAUUGGCUAGUUGGUGGGUAAAGGCCCACCAAGGCGACGAUCAGUAGCUGGUCUGAGAGGACGAUCAGCCACACUGGGACUGAAACACGGCCCAGACUCCUACGGGAGGCGAGCAGUGGGGAAUUUUGGACGAAUGGGCGAAAGCCUGAUCCAGCAAUGCCGCGUGUGUGAAGAAGGCCUCGGUUGUAAGU
rnacentral:rRNA from 1 species